UAUCUUUCGCAAUGGGCGCAAGCCUGACGCAGCCAUGCCGCGUGAAUGAUGAAGGUCCUAGGAUUGUAAAAUUCUUUCACCGGGGACGAUAAUGACGUUACCCGGAGAAGAAGCCCCGGCUAACCUCGUGCCAGCACCCGCGGUAAUACGAAGGGGGCUAGCGUUGCUCGGAAUUACUGGGCGUAAAGGGCGCGUAGGCGGACAUUUAAGUCAGGGGUGAAAUCCCAGAGCUCAACUCUGGAACUGCCUUGGAUACUGGGUGUAUUGAGUGUGAGAGAGGUAUGUGGAACUCCGAGUGUAGAGGUGAAAUUCGUAGAUAUUCGGAAGAACACCAGUGGCGAAGGCGACAUACUGGCUCAUUACUGACGCUGAGGCGCGAAAGCGUGGGGAGCAAACA
rnacentral:rRNA from 1 species